UACGAGAGGCCCAAACGUUAUUCGGAAUUACUGGGCUUAAAGAGUUCGUAGGCGGCAUUGCAAGUAGGGUGUGAAAGCCCUCGGCUCAACCGAGGAAUUGCGCUCUAAACUGUCGUGCUAGAGGAAGCUAGAGGUGAGCGGAACUGAUGGUGGAGCGGUGAAAUGCGUUGAUAUCAUCAGGAACACCGGAGGCGAAGGCGGCUCACUGGGGCUUUUCUGACGCUGAGGAACGAAAGCCAGGGUAGCGAACGGG
rnacentral:rRNA from 1 species